rnacentral:rRNA from 1 species
GACGAACGCUGGCGGCGUGGAUUAGGCAUGCAAGUCGGACGGUAGGGCUUUAUCGUAAGAUAGAGUUUGAGAGUGGCGAACGGGUGAGUAACACGUAGGAAUCUACCCUUAAGACGGGGACAACCCAGGGAAACUUGGGCUAAUACCGGAUGAGAGUGCGAGAGAUUGCAUUUAAAGGAUGGCGAAAGUUGUCGCUUAGGGAUGAGCCUGCGGUCUAUUAGUUAGUUGGUGAGGUAACGGCUCACCUAGGCAAUGAUAGGUAGGCGGCCUUAACGGGUGGUCGCCCACACUGGGAUUGAGAUACGGCCCAGACUCCUACGGGAGGCAGCAGUCGAGAAUAGUCUACAAUGGUCGGAAGACUGAUAGUGCGACGCCGCGUGAACGAUGAAUCCCUUCGGGGUGUAAAGUUCUUUUAUAUGUGAGCAGUGCUUCUUAUAUUAACAGUAUGGGGAGAGAGAUAUUAGCAUAUGAAUAAGCAACGGCUAACUCCGUG